GACAGAGGGGGCAAGCGUUGCUCGGAAUCACUGGGCGUAAAGGGCGCGUAGGCGGGACGCCAAGUCGGUCGUGAAAUCUCCGGGCUCAACCCGGAGGAGUCGGCCGAAACUGGUGUUCUUGAGGGAGGCAGAGGAGUCUGGAAUUCCCGGUGUAGCGGUGAAAUGCGCAGAUAUCGGGAGGAACACCUAUGGCGAAGGCAGCUCGCUGGGACGUUACUGACGCUGAGACGCGAAAGCGUGGGGAGCAAACAGG
rnacentral:rRNA from 1 species